rnacentral:rRNA from 1 species
UACAGAGGUCCCGAGCGUUGUUCGGAUUCACUGGGCGUAAAGGGUGCGUAGGUGGUGAGGUAAGUCGGAUGUGAAAUCUCCAAGCUCAACUUGGAAAUGGCAUUGGAAACUACCUUGCUGGAGGUUUGGAGGGGGACUGGAAUUCUCGGUGUAGCAGUGAAAUGCGUAGAUAUCGAGAGGAACACCAGUGGCGAAGGCGAGUCCCUGGACAAAACCUGACACUGAGGCAACGAAAGCUAGGGGAGCAAACAGG